AUUCCAGCUCCAAUAGCGUAUAUUAAAGUUGUUGCAGUUAAAAAGCUCGUAGUUGAAUUUCUGGGUGUGAUAGGCGGUCCGUGUGCAUAACAUGUGUACCUCCCUCUCAUGCCCAUCCUCGAAGUGAAUAUGCAUUGCCUUAACUGUGUCGUGUAUAGGACCUUCGUCAUUUACUGUGAGCAAAAUAGAGUGUUCAAAGCAGGCUUAUGCCGUUGAAUAUAUUAGCAUGGAAUAAUAAGAUAUGACUUCUGUCUAUUUUGUUGGUUUGCAUUCGGAAGUAAUGAUUAAUAGGGAUAGUUGGGGGUUUUCGUAUUCAAUUGUCAGAGGUGAAAUUCUUGGAUUUAUGGAAGACGAACUACUGCGAAAGCAUCAACCAAGGAUGUUUUCAUCA
rnacentral:rRNA from 1 species